GCGCCCGUGCCACAUUAAAAACACCAGUCCUCGUCCGAUCAAUGAAGUUAAACAACAUCAAAUCAGGUUAAUACUUGCGCGGAUGACCAACUGGAACGGCCGGGUUCAGUAGCA
rnacentral:rRNA from 1 species